rnacentral:misc_RNA from 1 species
GCUGGGACAACUAGACAUACAGUG